UACGUAGGCAGCAAGCGUUGUUCGGAAUUACUGGGCGUAAAGGGUGCGUAGGCGGCUUUUUAAGUUUGGUGUGAAAUCUCCCGGCUCAACUGGGAGGGUGCGCCGAAUACUGAGAAGCUAGAGUGUGGGAGAGGAAAGUGGAAUUCCUGGUGUAGCGGUGGAAUGCGCAGAUAUCAGGAGGAACACCGAUGGCGAAGGCAGCUCGCUGGGACGGUACUGACGCUGAGGCGCGAAAGCGUGGGGAGCGAACAGG
rnacentral:rRNA from 1 species